GGUUCCUCCUCUGGCUGGCAGCAGGGGCCAGCUCAGCCCCUUCUCCUCUCCUAAGGCUGGUGAGUCCAUUUCAAUGCAGAGGGGAGGUGGAUAGAGGGCAGAAGGGGGCAGAGAGUAUGGGGCUGGAGCCAUGGCAGGGAUGUGCAGGGUUACUGGUGCUCAGCAGUACUUGCUCGUGGUCCUGAGCAUCAGCAACAGCAAGCUGAACCCUGGCACCCAUGAGAUGGAGCUGUUCUUUAGCUGAUCUUUGGGGCUUCAUACAAAGGAAUCUUUCCCCUCAGCAUCAGCUCUGCUCUCCCCAGACUUAUGUAACUCACAUUUAAACAAACCUGCUUGCAGAUGCUGGUUGCAGAACACAAGUGCAACUGAAGCUGCUCUCUCCCCUCCAGCCUGCAGUGCAAGGAACACACUGUGCUGUCUCCUCCUGCCACUUUUACCUGCCCUCUCAGGUGCCGGGCUCACAACCCCCUCCUCUCUGGAAAGAGGAAAAAUGAUUUUUUAAUUUACUUUUAUGAAGUUUGAGUUCCUGGAUAGCAGAGAGCAAAGUCCAGGCAAGGAUUUCCAGAUACACAAGUUCCCAGUUUUUUCAUGGCGAUGGUCUUAGCCAGCAAUUUCCUUAACUUCCCAGCAGCCCAGCCAUGUGAGCAGAUGCCAGUGGUAUCUCCCAACAGAGAUGUGCCAGCCCCUCUUGGCUGCAGAGAAUAAAAAUAGCUGGAGAAGGUGUCUUGAGUGUACUUGAACCCGUGUGGCAGAAACAGAAAUCCAAAUAGUUUGCCUAAACAUAAGAUGGUUUAAAAUAAUAGGGUUGAUAGUUUUGGGGACAUAUCUCCUAUUUUUAGUUCACCGGACUGGCAAGAGUGGCUGCUUACUUUUGUAAACAUAAACCUCUUCUCAAACAGCAAAGAGGUGGAAGAAGCUGCUCUUCAGAGCACAGUCCUGGUCUAGCAUGACCAAGUCUCCUUCUGGAGAAGCAGGACAUUUGCCCCAUCCCAGAGCAUCCCCCAGGCAGCUGCGGCAUGGUGGGCACCCAAGGUAUUCUCCCUCCGCAAACAGCAGCAUCCUCUGGGGCUGCAGGCAGCCUCUUGGCUCCUCUCCCUGCACUGCAGCUUUUAUUGUCCAAUAUGCUCCCUGGUGUGGCAGCACCCAGCAACCUCUCCCUUCUCUGGUUUUGCAGAAGUGUGGGUACCCAUCUGAGCUCACUCCUUGAAGCUCCCUCACUCCUCCUGCUCCAGCCCAAACCUGUUGCCCUCCUCCCCACCCACUUGCUGUCUCCUCUCCAGCAGAGCAGCUGGAACUGAUUCAUCUGAGCUGGCCAGAUGUCCCAUCCUUCAAAGUGGCAAUCCAGCCUGUGGUGGCACAGUCUGCAGGCUCAGCCCACACGUGUGACCCAAACUAGAGCCCCUGCAGUAAUCCUGCCUGCACCAGCCCAUGCACUGCAUCCUGGUGUGCUGUGUUUUCCAGCGGAUCUGGGGCCCAGGAUUGUGUGGAUGAGCUGCGAUCCCGGCUGCCUCCUCUUCAUCCCUGUGGCUGCCCAUGGAAGUCCUCUACUCUGCCCUCGAAGGGGAGAUUGGUGCCUUUGUGGGGCACGUGAAGCGGUGCCAGCAGGGUUUUGACCUGCGCCGCCUGUACCACGUGCUGCUGCUGGUGCUGCCGUGGAGCCCCUCGGGGCAGGUGGAGAGCUGGCAGCACCUGCAGCGGCUCGUCCAGCACCAACCCAGCUCGGCCAGCCCUGAUGUGGCCAGCUAUGUGAGCUGGCUGGCCUCUUACCUGCAGCACCUGAGUACUCUAAAGGAGAGGUUUGACACCAUGGUGGUGGUCCCACUCUGCGAGAACCUGUAUGUGCACGAGAAGCCAGCCAGCCACACCACCCAGCAGUCCCCCCUGCUGUCCAUUCCACACCUGGCCACACAGCUCUUCACCUGCCGGCGUAACUGGGGGCUGCUGCUGCAGGGGGGAGCCCUCAGUGAGCGGGUCUUCAGCCCCCAGAGCCUGCUUGACCUGUGUGGCUUCGCUGGCGUGGAGCCCUUUGAGAAGGUCUUACGGCUGGUCCCUGAUGUCUUUCACCAGAGCCUGGCCAUGGCAGACCUUGCCCAGCAGUGGGUGCAUCUCCACCGCAGCAGAUACAGCCUCUCCCUGCCGCCAUCACCAUCCCCAUCACUAUCGCCAUCACCAUUGCCAUUGCUGUCACCCUCACUGCCACAGCAGCCUUCAGCACAGGGCAGAGCAGGGCUGGCUCCCAGCACUGUGCAGCCCCCACUGUGUGGCAGGGCCCCCCAGCAGCCCAGCUCUCCCCUGGGUUUUCCCAGCCUCUUGAUCCCACCACGGCCCUCAGGCACAGGCAGCACCAGGCUGCUCCAAGCUCAGCUGCGGGAAAGCCGGGAGGAGCUGCUGGCCCUGCUGCACCGUGGGCAGCGGGCAGCUGCCCUGCAUGCCCAGGUCCAUCAUGUUGCCCAGCGCAUCUGCACCCUGCGCCUGCAGAAGCGGGGCAAGGGGACAGAGCUGUCCCAGCCUCGGCAGAGGCCAGGGAUAGGGACAGGGAGUUGUUGGCACCAGGCUGUCCCGGCCGAGGAGCUGCAGAAGAACCUGGAGCUGGAGGAAUACCACCACAGCAUCCUGGAGGCCGACUGGCUGCUGGAGCUGGAGGUCAGACCCAUGCUCAUCCGGAGGAUUGAUGAGGUUCAGGAGCACUGCCAGCACCUGGAGAGGAUGCUGCGAGGCCAGGCACUGCCCACCCCACAGCAAGGCUGGCUCAGGAACCGGAUGGCUACCAACACUGUGCCCAGGUGGGCUCAGCCCUCUGCCAUGUGACCCACCUACUCCCAGCAGCAGCGGCCAGGAGACCAUGACUGGAGGACGUCCAGCCCACCACCAUGUGGGCUGUGGGCAGCCAGCAGCUCAUGGGGACCUGGCUCAGUUCUUGCCUGGGAGGAAAGUGUGGAGACAAUGCAUAUUUAAGGAGAUGUUUCCUCUGUGCUCAGCCCAUGGCCCUGCUGUUGGACAUGUUGCUACAGGCUGGUGUGGACCCCAGAACUGGCCACAUUCUCUGGAAAUGACCUCACUCUGACCAUGUUCAGAGGGAAUAUCAUGUUUGUGCUACAGUCAGAGACCACACAGACUCCUCGCUGUACAUCGACCUGACCCUGCAUUCGCCCACCUUUGAACUCUCGGCUCUGCCCUGUGCUCCAGCAGUUCGUGUUAUCUGCAUGCGUGAGCACUGCAGGGAGAGUUUAUGAUUUGCAUUUAUGUUAAUCAGCAUAAGUAUGAAUAAUAUUCCUGGAAUGCUUGUACUUGAGCGAAGUUGUGUAACUAAGCACGAUUUUCUCAGAAGACUUUGCACAUAUGCUGAGUUAACAGUGAAAUGAUAAUGCUUUUGAUAUUAAUUGUGGAAGUGUAGAAGGAUAUGAAAAAGAUGUAACAAAGUGCAUGAUUUUACUAAUGUGUGAUAG